AUGACCUCUCAGAUUUGUCAGAAUUAUUCCACCGAAGUGGAAGCUUCCAUAAACCACCUGGUCAACUUGCACCUGUGGGCUUCCUACACUUACCUCUCUCUGGGCUUCUUUUUUGAUCUGGAUGACAUGGCUCUGGAUGGCAUAGGCUACUUCUUCUGAGAACUGGCCCAGGAGAAGUGUGAGGGCGCCGAGCAUCUCUUCAAGUUGCAGAAGGAUCUUGGGUGCCAUAUACUCUUCCAGGAUGUGUAGAAGCCAUCUCAAGAUGAAUGGGGUAAAACCCAGGAGGCCAUGGAAGCUGUCUUGGCCCUGGAGAAGAAUCUGAACCAGGCCCUCUUGGAUCUGCAUGCCCUGGGUUCUGCCCACACAGACCCUCAUCUCUGUGACUUCUUGAAAAGCCACUUCCUGGAUAAGGAGGUGAAGCUCAUCAAGAAGAUGGGCAACCACCUGACCAACCUCCGAAGGGUGGCAGGGCCAUAACCAGCACAGACUCGUGUGCCCCAAGGAUCUCUGGGCGAGUAUCUCUUUGAAUGCCUCACUCUGCUCUCAAGCAGGACUAGGAGACCUCUGUGCCUUCCAAGCCCCACCCCCCACCCCUCUGCUCUGUACUAG